rnacentral:rRNA from 1 species
GGUUAAGCGACUAAGCGUACACGGUGGAUGCCCUGGCAGUCAGAGGCGAUGAAGGACGUGCUAAUCUGCGAUAAGCGUCGGUAAGGUGAUAUGAACCGUUAUAACCGGCGAUUUCCGAAUGGGGAAACCCAGUGUGUUUCGACACACUAUCAUUAACUGAAUCCAUAGGUUAAUGAGGCGAACCGGGGGAACUGAAACAUCUAAGUACCCCGAGGAAAAGAAAUCAACCGAGAUUCCCCCAGUAGCGGCGAGCGAACGGGGAGGAGCCCAGAGCCUGAAUCAGUGUGUGUGUUAGUGGAAGCGUCUGGAAAGGCGCGCGAUACAGGGUGACAGCCCCGUACACAAAAAUGCACAUACUGUGAGCUCGAUGAGUAGGGCGGGACACGUGGUAUCCUGUCUGAAUAUGGGGGGACCAUCCUCCAAGGCUAAAUACUCCUGACUGACCGAUAGUGAACCAGUACCGUGAGGGAAAGGCGAAAAGAACCCCGGCGAGGGGAGUGAAAAAGAACCUGAAACCGUGUACGUACAAGCAGUGGGAGCCUCUUUUAUGGGGUGACUGCGUACCUUUUGUAUAAUGGGUCAGCGACUUAUAUUCUGUAGCAAGGUUAACCGAAUAGGGGAGCCGAAGGGAAACCGAGUCUUAACUGGGCGUUAAGUUGCAGGGUAUAGACCCGAAACCCGGUGAUCUAGCCAUGGGCAGGUUGAAGGUUGGGUAACACUAACUGGAGGACCGAACCGACUAAUGUUGAAAAAUUAGCGGAUGACUUGUGGCUGGGGGUGAAAGGCCAAUCAAACCGGGAGAUAGCUGGUUCUCCCCGAAAGCUAUUUAGGUAGCGCCUCGUGAAUUCAUCUCCGGGGGUAGAGCACUGUUUCGGCAAGGGGGUCAUCCCGACUUACCAACCCGAUGCAAACUGCGAAUACCGGAGAAUGUUAUCACGGGAGACACACGGCGGGUGCUAACGUCCGUCGUGAAGAGGGAAACAACCCAGACCGCCAGCUAAGGUCCCAAAGUCAUGGUUAAGUGGGAAACGAUGUGGGAAGGCCCAGACAGCCAGGAUGUUGGCUUAGAAGCAGCCAUCAUUUAAAGAAAGCGUAAUAGCUCACUGGUCGAGUCGGCCUGCGCGGAAGAUGUAACGGGGCUAAACCAUGCACCGAAGCUGCGGCAGCGACGCUUAUGCGUUGUUGGGUAGGGGAGCGUUCUGUAAGCCUGUGAAGGUGUACUGUGAGGUAUGCUGGAGGUAUCAGAAGUGCGAAUGCUGACAUAAGUAACGAUAAAGCGGGUGAAAAGCCCGCUCGCCGGAAGACCAAGGGUUCCUGUCCAACGUUAAUCGGGGCAGGGUGAGUCGACCCCUAAGGCGAGGCCGAAAGGCGUAGUCGAUGGGAAACAGGUUAAUAUUCCUGUACUUGGUGUUACUGCGAAGGGGGGACGGAGAAGGCUAUGUUGGCCGGGCGACGGUUGUCCCGGUUUAAGCGUGUAGGCUGGUUUUCCAGGCAAAUCCGGAAAAUCAAGGCUGAGGCGUGAUGACGAGGCACUACGGUGCUGAAGCAACAAAUGCCCUGCUUCCAGGAAAAGCCUCUAAGCAUCAGGUAACAUCAAAUCGUACCCCAAACCGACACAGGUGGUCAGGUAGAGAAUACCAAGGCGCUUGAGAGAACUCGGGUGAAGGAACUAGGCAAAAUGGUGCCGUAACUUCGGGAGAAGGCACGCUGAUAUGUAGGUGAAGCGACUUGCUCGUGGAGCUGAAAUCAGUCGAAGAUACCAGCUGGCUGCAACUGUUUAUUAAAAACACAGCACUGUGCAAACACGAAAGUGGACGUAUACGGUGUGACGCCUGCCCGGUGCCGGAAGGUUAAUUGAUGGGGUUAGCGGUAACGCGAAGCUCUUGAUCGAAGCCCCGGUAAACGGCGGCCGUAACUAUAACGGUCCUAAGGUAGCGAAAUUCCUUGUCGGGUAAGUUCCGACCUGCACGAAUGGCGUAAUGAUGGCCAGGCUGUCUCCACCCGAGACUCAGUGAAAUUGAACUCGCUGUGAAGAUGCAGUGUACCCGCGGCAAGACGGAAAGACCCCGUGAACCUUUACUAUAGCUUGACACUGAACAUUGAGCCUUGAUGUGUAGGAUAGGUGGGAGGCUUUGAAGUGUGGACGCCAGUCUGCAUGGAGCCGACCUUGAAAUACCACCCUUUAAUGUUUGAUGUUCUAACGUUGGCCCGUAAUCCGGGUUGCGGACAGUGUCUGGUGGGUAGUUUGACUGGGGCGGUCUCCUCCUAAAGAGUAACGGAGGAGCACGAAGGUUGGCUAAUCCUGGUCGGACAUCAGGAGGUUAGUGCAAUGGCAUAAGCCAGCUUGACUGCGAGCGUGACGGCGCGAGCAGGUGCGAAAGCAGGUCAUAGUGAUCCGGUGGUUCUGAAUGGAAGGGCCAUCGCUCAACGGAUAAAAGGUACUCCGGGGAUAACAGGCUGAUACCGCCCAAGAGUUCAUAUCGACGGCGGUGUUUGGCACCUCGAUGUCGGCUCAUCACAUCCUGGGGCUGAAGUAGGUCCCAAGGGUAUGGCUGUUCGCCAUUUAAAGUGGUACGCGAGCUGGGUUUAGAACGUCGUGAGACAGUUCGGUCCCUAUCUGCCGUGGGCGCUGGAGAACUGAGGGGGGCUGCUCCUAGUACGAGAGGACCGGAGUGGACGCAUCACUGGUGUUCGGGUUGUCAUGCCAAUGGCACUGCCCGGUAGCUAAAUGCGGAAGAGAUAAGUGCUGAAAGCAUCUAAGCACGAAACUUGCCCCGA